CAGUCGCCGCGGUAAUACGAAGGGUGCAAGCGUUACUCGGAAUUACUGGGCGUAAAGCGUGCGUAGGUGGUGGUUUAAGUCCGUUGUGAAAGCCCUGGGCUCAACCUGGGAAUUGCAGUGGAUACUGGGUCACUAGAGUGUGGUAGAGGAUAGUGGAAUUUCCGGUGUAGCAGUGAAAUGCGUAGAGAUCGGAAGGAACAUCUGUGGCGAAGGCGACUAUCUGGGCCAACACUGACACUGAGGCACGAAAGCGUGGGGAGCAAACAGGAUUAGAGACCCGAGUAGUCCCUGUCUCUUAUAC
rnacentral:rRNA from 1 species